UCGAAACAGUCAGCCCUGCGACGCUCGGGAGAAUUUCAGGAUCGUUUUGGCGGUCCGGUCAACCGGUGGUGGCGGAUGAACGCCCGGCUGCUACAAAUACCCGCGGCCGUACAAGGCCAAUGUGUAGUCAUGGUUGACUCAGGCUGGCCCUUUGUGGCCGCAGUGUUGGCAGAUUUCGUUGUGGCCUCCCCCUAGGGGGUGCGCCCUCCCUGCUUGAUCGCAAGAGCUUUUGACCUAUUCGCUUGAGUGUGGUGUAUUUGACCACAGUGGCCUUGACGGGGAAAGGAGAAUUAGGGUUUGGUUCCGGGGGGGGAGCCUGGGAGGAGGCUACCCAUUCCAAGGUGGGGAGCAGGCACGCAAAUUGGCCCCUGCAAAGACAGUUUGUGAGGGAGGGACGAACCGUAGCAAUCCCGUCGGCAAUCACUGCCGAUGGGACUUGGAAAGGGUGCUAUCCAAAGACAGUUAUGAGUAUCAACUGGGGGGCAA
rnacentral:rRNA from 1 species